AGUGAACGCUGGCGGUAGGCCUAACACAUGCAAGUCGAACGGCAGCACAGUAAGAGCUUGCUCUUACGGGUGGCGAGUGGCGGACGGGUGAGGAAUACAUCGGAAUCUACUUUUUCGUGGGGGAUAACGUAGGGAAACUUACGCUAAUACCGCAUACGACCUACGGGUGAAAGCAGGGGAUCUUCGGACCUUGCGCGAUUCAAUGAGCCGAUGUCGGAUUAGCUAGUUGGCGGGGUAAAGGCCCACCAAGGCGACGAUCCGUAGCUGGUCUGAGAGGAUGAUCAGCCACACUGGAACUGAGACACGGUCCAGACUCCUGCGGGAGGCAGCAGUGGGGAAUAUUGGACAAUGGGCGCAAGCCUGAUCCAGCCAUACCGCGUGGGUGAAGAAGGCCUUCGGGUUGUAAAGCCCUUUUGUUGGGAAAGAAAAGCAGCAGGUUAAUACCCCGCUGUUCUGACGGUACCCAAAGAAUAAGCACCGGCUAACUUCGUG
rnacentral:rRNA from 1 species